GUCGACAGCCAUGCUACCCUGAACAUGCCUGAUAUUGUCUGAUUUUGGAAGCUCUAAGCAGGGUCGGGCCUGGUUAGUACUUGGAUGGGAGACUACCUAGGAAGACCAGGUGCUGUUGGCA
rnacentral:rRNA from 1 species